GGGCGCUUGGUUUAGGGGUAUAACGUUCGCUUAGCAUUCAGUGAUAUGUUUGCGAACGGUCCUGGGUUCGAUUCCCAGAGCGUCCA